rnacentral:rRNA from 1 species
GAUGAACGCUGGCGGCGUGCCUAAUACAUGCAAGUCGAGCGACGCGUGGACGGGUGAGUAACACGUGGAUAACCUCCUCUAAGACUGGGAUAACUUCGUGAAACCGUAGCUAAACCGGCUACUUAUAGAUGGUUCCGCUCUGCAUUAGCUAGUUGGUAAGGUAACGGCUUACCAAGGCAACGAUGCAUAGCCGAACUGAGAGGGUGAUCGGCAACACUGGAACUGAGACACGGUCCAGACGCCUACGGGAGGCAGCAGUAGGGAAUAUUCCGCAAUGGGCGAAAGCCUGACGUAGCAACGCCGCGUGAGUGAAGAAGGGCUUCGGAUUGUAAAACUCUGUUAUUAGGGAAGCGGUACCUAAUCAGAAAGCCACGGCUAACUACGUGCCAGCAGCCGCGGUAAUUC